UUUGUGUUUAUAUUAGCUUUUUAAUAUAUUAAAUUGAGUAAUUAAUUUCUUAUAUUAUAAAAUUAGGUAUUUUCUACCGGCAACUGCAAUGACUAAUUUUUCGAGUUAGGAAAACCACAAUAAACAAUAAAACUCUUCUUUUAAAAUAUUUAAUAAUGUCAUAUAUCUAGGGUUGAGUUCACUACUACAAAUAAUACAUUUCAUGACAUAACUUUCACCUCGCCCUAUCAAAAAUUGAGGUAAAAGGUCA
rnacentral:lncRNA from 1 species